rnacentral:misc_RNA from 1 species
GUCGAAUGGGUCGAUUCUUGGGUCGUGCUCACUUGCCAUCAACAUCCCCGUACAAAGACAUGUUGGGCACAUUACCUUUCCUGCACCAGAACAGUUGAGACAUCUUUGAGUUUUGGGCAUUCGUAAAGGGCGGCUAGAAGAAGCAGAUAGUGAGAUGGGGUCAGCACUUAAGCAUACACCACUUGAAGAACAUCGGGCACAAGCCAGAUACCCCGUUCCAUGACAAUAUUUGCACCUUUUUU